UACGUAGGGUGCAAGCGUUAAUCGGAAUUACUGGGCGUAAAGCGUGCGCAGGCGGUUCGGAAAGAAAGGUGUGAAAUCCCCGGGCUUAACCUGGGAACGGCACUUUUAACUACCGGGCUAGAGUGUGUCAGAGGGGGGUGGAAUUCCGCGUGUAGCAGUGAAAUGCGUAGAGAUGCGGAGGAACACCGAUGGCGAAGGCAGCCCCCUGGGACAACACUGACGCUCAUGCACGAAAGCGUGGGGAGCAAACAGG
rnacentral:rRNA from 1 species